GGAUAACCUGCCCUUGGGACCGGCAUAACCCCGGGAAACUGGGGAUAAUACCGGAUAACGCAUAUCUGCUGGAAUGCUUUAUGCGUAAAAUGGAUUUGUCUGCCCAAGGAUGGGUCUGCGGCCUAUCAGGUAGUAGUGGGUGUAAUGUACCUACUAGCCUACGACGGGUACGGGUUGUGAGAGCAAGAGCCCGGAGAUGGAUUCUGAGACAUGAAUCCAGGCCCUACGGGGCGCAGCAGGCGCGAAAACUUUACAAUGCGGGAAACCGUGAUAAGGGGACACCGAGUGCCAGCAUCAUAUGUUGGCUGUCCAGAUGUGUAAAAUACAUCUGUUAGCAAGGGCCGGGCAAGACCGGUGCCAGCCGCCGCGGUAACACCGGCGGCCCGAGUGGUGAUCGUGAUUAUUGGGUCUAAAGGGUCCGUAGCCGGUUUGGUCAGUCCUCCGGGAAAUCUGACGGCUCAACCGUUAGGCUUUCGGUGGAUACUGCCAGACUUGGAACCGGGAGAGGUAAGAGGUACUACGGGGGUAGGAGUGAAAUCCUGUAAUCCUCGAGGGACCACCUGUGGCGAAGGCGCCUCACCAGAACGGCUUCGACAGUGAGGGACGAAAGCUGGGGGAGCAAACCGGAUUAGAUACCCGGGUAGUCCCAGCCGUAAACGAUGCGCGUUAGGUGUGUCGAUGACCACGAGUCAUCGAGGUGCCGAAGGGAAACCGUGAAACGCGCCGCCUGGGAAGUACGGUCGCAAGGCUGAAACU
rnacentral:rRNA from 1 species